GAUGAACGCUGGCGGCGUGCCUAACACAUGCAAGUCGAACGAAAAGACGAGGCGCUUGCUCCUUUCACGUUAGCGGCGCAGGGGUGUGAAACAUGUGUAUAACCCACCUAUAUGACUGGGAAAACCUCGGGAAACCGGAGCUUAUACCGGAUAAUCUACUGAAGCGCAUGGUUCAAUAGUGAAAGACGGCUUUGCUGUCACUUAUAGAUGGUUACGCGCCGCAUUAGCUAGUUGGUAAGGUAACGGCUUACCAAGGCAACGAUGCGUAGCCGACCUGAGAGGGUGAUCGGCCACACGGGAACUGAGACACGGUCCAGACGCCUACGGGAGGCAGCAGUAGGGAAUCUUACGCAAUGGGCGAAAGCUUGACGGAGCAACGCCGCGUGUGUGAUGAAGGCCUUCGGUUCGUAAAGCUCGGUUAUUGGGGAAGAACAGAUGUGUAAGUAGAUAUGCACGUAGUGACGGUACCUGAUCAAGAAGCCCCGGCUAACUACGUG
rnacentral:rRNA from 1 species